UACGGGGGGGGCGAGCGUUGUUCGGAAUUACUGGGCGUAAAGGGCGCGUAGGCGGUUCGCUAAGUUGGAUGUGAAAACUCUGGGCUCAACCCAGAGCCUGCAUCCAAAACUGGCGGGCUAGAGUUCUGGAGGGGGUAGCGGAAUUCCUGGUGUAGCGGUGAAAUGCGUAGAUAUCAGGAAGAACACCCGUGGCGAAGGCGGCUCUCUGGGACGGUACUGACGCUGAGACGCGAAAGCGUGGGGAGCGAACAGG
rnacentral:rRNA from 1 species